rfam:Euryarchaeota archaeon HMET1 HMET1_2, whole genome shotgun sequence.
AGUCCCGUUGGGUAGUGGUCAAUCCUCUGAGGCUCUGGACCUCAGGACGGCGGUUCGAAUCCGCCCGGGACUA